rnacentral:lncRNA from 1 species
UUCCUAAGAAUCAGUGACUGAGAUUAGUUUCUAUUUACAAGGGAACUCCUAGUAAUAAAGUAAGUUUUUUGUCCUUAAUCUUAGGAAUUCCAACACUCCCCCUCAAGCUAGAGUGUAGAUGUUUAUCAAACCCAGCUUGCCAAUAAGUUCUUCAAACAUGUUUCUGUUCAAACUUUUAGUUAAUACGUCUGCAACUUGUUGUCUAGUAGGUAGGUAGGUGAUGCACACUUCUCCUGAGUGUAUUUUUUCUUUUAUAAAGUGGCGAUUUAUUUCCACAUGUUUGGUGCGAUCAUGAUGCACAGGAUUAUGUGCUAUGCUGACAGCUGCCUGGUUGUCACAGUACAUCUUCAUAGGCCUGGUGUAAGGCACUUUUAGUUCCCCCAUAAGUCUUCGUAUCCAAACUCCUUCGCAUAUACCAUGAGAUAGUGCUCGAUACUCUGCCUCUGCACUGCUGCGUGCUACAACAGACUGUUUUUUGCUUCUCCACGUCAUGAGGUUACCCCAAACAUAACUACAAUAGCCACUUGUAGAGCGUCUAUCGUUAACAGAACCUGCCCAGUCUGCAUCAGUGUAGACUUCCACAUUCUAGUUGGCAGUUUUCUUGAAAUGCAGGCCUUUAUCGGGAGUCCCUUUUAGAUACCUUAAUAUUCUAUAUGCAGCUUCCAGGUGCUUCUCCCUCGGGGCAUGCAUGUACUGACUGAUAACACUUACACCGAAGGCUAUGUUUGGACGGGUGUGAGAUAGGUAGAUGAGUCUUCCUACUAGUCGUUGAUAUCUCCCCCUGUCAAUUUCUUCUCCAUCCUCAUCAAUUCCCAAUUGUGAAAUUCCAUAGGAGUUUCGGCUGGUUUGCAGCCCAUCAAACCAACUUCUGACAAUAGAUCAAGCACAUAUUUCCUUUGGGAGAUGGAAAUACCUGUUUGGGACCUUGCUACCUCCAUACCAAGAAAGUAUUUAAGAUUCCCCAAGUCUUUAAGCUCGAGCUCUGUACCAAGAAAUUCUUUCAACCUCACAAUUUCGCUUGAGUCAUCUCCUGUUAAUAUUAUAUCGUCCACAUAAACGAUGAGGAUGCAGCAUUUUCCCUUUUCCGAGUGCUUGUAGAACAUGGUGUGGUCUGCCUGCCCUUGAAUGUAAUUUCUGCUGGUCAUAGCUUCUGCAAAUCGGCUGAACCACACCCGUGGAGAUUGUUUCAGCCCAUACAAGGACUUCUUCAACUUACACACUUGGCCCUUGCUUUCUUCAAACCCGAGUGAGAAAUUCAUGUACACUUCCUCACUUAAUUCUCCGUUGAGGAAAGCAUUUUUUACAUCCAAUUGAGUCAAGUGCCAAUCAAGGUUGGCAGCAAGAGAUAAGAGGACUCGAAUGGUGUUUAGCUUGGCAACCGGUGCAAACAUCUCGUCGUAGUCAAGACCAUAAGUUUGAGUAAAACCCUUAGCCACAAGUGGAGCCUUGUAUCGAUCAAUACGGCCAUCGGGUUUAAAUUUCAUAGUGAAGAUCCAUUUGCAUCCUACUGUUUUUUUUCCCUUAGGUAGAUCCGAGACUUCCCAUGUUUCAUUGUUUUUGAGGGCCUUCAUUUCUUCCAUCACAGCUUGUCUCCACUCAGCUGAUUCAAAAGCCUCUUCUAUAUUUUUUGGAGUUUUUACAGAAUCAAUAUUAGUCACAAAAGCUUUGUAAGACUUAGAUAAAUUUCCAUAGGAUACAAACCGAGAAAUAGGGUGUUGAGUGCAACUCCUUGUGCCCUUUCGAACUGCAAUUGGAAGAUAGAUAGAUGGUGACGGAGGUGAGACUUCUGUUUCAGAACAGUCCUCGGUUGGGGAUGCAAUUGGCACUGCUCUAUCAGUUUCAGGAGAACGAUUCCGUCGAGAGUAAACCUGUAUUUCGGGAACCUAUUUUUGUUGUUUUUCUUGAUCAGAGGGUUGUUGUACUUCGGUGGUAGUAUUGUUAUUGGGAAGGAUCGGGCUAAUUUCUUACUGUAUAGGGGAAAAAGUCUCUAAAUUUGGGAUUACCAUAGCACCUUGGUUGUUAGGCUUGUUUGUGAUAGUAGUUGUAGGAUCAUGAGGUAUAAUGAGGAGAGUAUUAAGGGUCUCAUCUUCAUUAAAAGUCUCCCCCUGAAGAUGAGAUGCUGCAAAGUAUGGUUCAUUUUCAAAGAAGGUAACAUCCCGAGAGACAAACAUUCGGCGCAAGGUUGGUGAGUAACACUUAUAGCCUUUUUGUGUGGGAGAAUAUCCAAUGAAGAUGCAGGUGUAGGCUCGAUGAUCAAGUUUGGGUUGAUUUGGUUGAUGGUUAUGGACAAAAACUUUGCAACUGAAUAUUUUGGCUGGAAGAUUAGGAACACGAAAUAGAGGAAAGGACUUUAGAAGGGUAUUUAGAGGUGUUUGGAAAUUGAGGACCUUUGAUGGCAUUCGGUUUAUGAGAUAGCAGGCAGUGAGGACAGCCUCUCCCCACAAGUAUUUUGGAACAUUCAUGGUGAACAUUAUGGCUCGAGCUACAGCAAGAAGAUGUCGAUUUUUUCUCUCAGAGAUCCCGUUUUGUUGAGGAGUGUCAGGACAAGAGCUUUGGUGUAUAAUGCCUUGGUCAGAAAGGUAUGGGCUUAGGACAGAGUUAAAGUACUCUCCCAUUGUCAGUGUGGAGAGUAUGCAUGGUAGAGUUGAACUGGGUUCGAACCAUUGAGUGAAAAUUUUGGAAUAAUUUGGGUGUUUCAGAUUUUUCUUUGAGGAGAUAGACCCAACAAACCCUAGUGUAAUCAUCAAUGAAUGUUAUAAACCACCUAGCCCCUGUAAUAUUUUUCACUCGGCUAGCUCCCCAUAGAUCACUAUGGAUUAAUGAAAAUGGUUGGGACUGGAUAUAUGGUUUUAAUGGGUAUGGUAUACGGGUAUGUUUGGAUAAUUGACAAAUUUCACACUUCAAGGAAUUAGUACUUUUAUUUCGAAAUAACAGCGAAAGAUGUUUCUUCAAAUACAAAAAGUUUGAAUCAGGGAUUUAAAUAGCGGUCCGUUACCGAAAUAGCGGCCGUUAUAUAGCGGUAACGGCACCGUCCGAAACCGUUACUGCCGAAACCCGCUAUACCCGCAAUACACAAUAAGUAAUGUAAAAUUCACGACCGCGAUACCCGCAGUGACCGCAAUAGCGUCCGUUAUGUCCGCGACCGCGACAAACGCGACGCGACCGAAAACGCGACCGCGACCGCAAUUUAAAUCCCUGGUUUGAAUGCCCUAACUUACGGUGCCAUAACAUAAUCGUGUCCUCUUUUGAAGUGGAUAGAGCCAAUCCUCCUUGUGUGCUGUCUUUAUUCCAAACAUAUAGUCCAUCAUCAAAUUUAGCAGUGCCAAUCAUUCUCCCCGAUUUCUGUUCCUGUAUCACACAACCAAUUGCAGAAAAUUCAGCAAGAAGUUUUUCAUCCUUAGUAAGUUUACUAAUUGAAAGUAAAUUGCAGGACAAGUUUGGGACAUGUAGGACUUUAUCAAGAGAAAAAUUCUCUAUUAUUUGUACUUCUCCUACUCUAGCCACAGGUGAGUAAGAACCAUCAGCUAUGCGAAUUCGGAACUUGUCAUGACAAGGGGUGUAGGUGUGAAACAAAGUGGAGUUACCUGUCAUGUGAUCGGAGGCACCCGAAUCGAGUAUCCAAGAGGAUUGAUUAUUUAAUUCAAAGGCAAUAUUGAGGGCAGUACCUUGGGUGGCUAGAGAUCCAUGAGCAGUGGAAGUACCAAGUAUCUUAUGGAGAGUCUCAAGUUGGGUUUUGGUUAGGCGAACAUCGAGAACAUCAUCUGCAGCAGUGGAGGAUAACAGGGCAGUCUUAUUAUCCUUCGGUUUUUUUUCAAGAUAGCCAUGAAGUUUGAAGCACUUUUCCUUUGUAUGAUCAACACGGUUGCAGUGGUUACACCAUGGCCUGGUUGAUCCAGAAUCAUUUCCAGCACGUGGUUUUUGUGGCUGUGGACCUCUGGAGAUGAGGGCAGAGGUCUCAGUAGACCGAUUGCCAAGAGUUGUCACAUGUUUAGGUUCCUUUGAGUCUCCCAUCAUGACAAGAUGGCGCUUUUCUUCUCUUCGAACUUCUGCAAAUGCUUCACCGAUGGUUGGUAGAGGUGAUCUGCCCAGAAUUCGGCCACAGACCUCAUCUAACUCACGGUUCAGUCCUGCUAGAAACUCAUAAAGACGUUCAUUGUUGAGGUGAGUCAUAAACUUGGUGUGUUCCAAGCCUUCACCCCAAUCUGCCUCAUAGUACAUAUCCAGUUCCUGCCACAAAAUUUUCAGAUUGUUGUAGUUGUGAGUUACUUCAAGUGUCCCUUGUCGGAUAUCCUUUAACUUAAGCUUGAGCUCAAAUACUUGGGAGGCGUUUCCAAGAUCCGAGUAGUUUUCUUUGACUGCAUCCCACGUGUCUUUUGCAGUUUGAAAAAGAGAUAGGUGCGGCUUAUAUGGCCUUCCAUCGAAUUAAUUAGCCAAGCCAUUACAAUUGAGUUGUUGAGUUCCCAAGUGGCAUAAGUCGGGUCAGCUAUGGUUGGUCGUGGAAUUUCUCCAUUGAUGUAUCUUAAUUUGCCACGACCACGAAUCACCAUAAGGACCGAUUGGGACCAUUGCAAGAAGUUCUUCCCAUCUAACCGAUGAUUGGUGAUUAUAAGAGAGGAAUUAAGUUCACCUUGAGUGAUUCCCUGAUUGACAUUCUGAGUUAUUUGUGAAGUCUCAGUUUCAGACAGAGUUUCAUUGAAGUCACCCAUGGGAGGAGGACAAAACCGGGGGGAUUUUUAGGGAGGGAGAUUAAAGACGAAUGAGCAGGAUCGAAUGAAUCCUAAAGCUCUGAUACCAUGAAGAAACUUAGAAAAAGAUUAUUAUGCAUUCUGCUAAUUAGUUUACACCUAUAAAGAGAGGAAUUCACACAAACAAGGAAAACAAUCCCUAAAAAACAGUAACUUCCUAAGAAUCAGUGACUGAGAUUAAUUUCUAUUUACAAGGGAACUCCUAGUAAUAAGGUAAGUUUUCUGUCCUUAAUCUUAGGAAUUCCAACAAAAUAAAAUUUUAAUUUCCCAUAUCAAUGUCAGUUUUUAAAUGACUCGAGACUGGACAAAUUUAACACUAGAUCUCAGUUAUGAUUGCUCUUAUCCUAUCAUUUUGCAUACACCUAUAUUUUCUACCUUCUACAAUAAAGAAGUUAAAAAUGCUUAUUCAGAAUCUUAAAACCAUCCUUUUUCUGCA